AGAUAGAUUUUCUUUCGACUAAUCGUCGCAGCCUUAGUUUGUAUAUUGUAGUCUAUGUUAACAUGGUGUUGAUAUGAAGUUUCUAUCCAUAUACAAGAAUAAUAAGACCUUUGCUGAAGGUUAACUAUAUGGUGUUUCAUAUGAAUAAGAUAUGCACUGUACUCCCAGUCUCAUUAAAUCUGUUUAAAA